GACGAACGCUGGCGGCGUGCUUAACACAUGCAAGUCGAACGGUAAGGCCCUUCGGGGUACACGAGUGGCGAACGGGUGAGUAACACGUGGGUGAUCUGCCCUGCACUUCGGGAUAAGCCUGGGAAACUGGGUCUAAUACCGGAUAGGACUCCGGACUGCAUGGUCUGGGGUGGAAAGCUUUUGCGGUGUGGGAUGGGCCCGCGGGCUAUCAGCUUGUUGGUGGGGUGAUGGCCUGCCAAGGCGACGACGGGUAGCCGGCCUGAGAGGGUGACCGGCCACACUGGGACUGAGAUACGGCCCAGACUCCUACGGGAGGCAGCAGUGGGGAAUAUUGCACAAUGGGCGCAAGCCUGAUGCAGCGACGCCGCGUGAGGGAUGACGGCCCUCGGGUUGUAAACCUCUUUCAGCACAGACGAAGCGCAAGUGACGGUAUGUGCAGAAGAAGGACCGGCCAACUACGUGCCGGCCGCCGCCGUAA
rnacentral:rRNA from 1 species